GUGAACGCUGGCGGUAGGCCUAACACAUGCAAGUCGAACGGCAGCACCGUAAGAGCUUGCUCUUACGGGUGGCGAGUGGCGGACGGGUGAGGAAUACAUCGGAAUCUACUUUUUCGUGGGGGAUAACGUAGGGAAACUUACGCUAAUACCGCAUACGACCUACGGGUGAAAGCAGGGGGUCUUCGGACCUUGCGCGAUUGAAUGAGCCGAUGUCGGAUUAGCUAGUUGGGGGGGUAAAGGCCCACCAAGGCGACGAUCCGUAGCUGGUCUGAGAGGAUGAUCGGCCACACUGGAACGUAGACACCGUCCAGACUCCUGCGGUACGCAGCAGUGGGGAAUAGUGGACAAUGGUCGGAAGCCUGAUCCAGCCAGACCGCGUGGGAGAAGAAGGCCUUCGGGUUGUAAAGCCCUUUUUUUGGGAAAGAAAAGCAGCAGGUUAAUACCCCGCUGUUCUGACGGUACCCAAAGAAUAAGCACCGGCUAACUUCGUG
rnacentral:rRNA from 1 species